rnacentral:rRNA from 1 species
GACGAACCGAGCGAACGUUAUUCGGAAUCACUGGGCUUAAAGGGCGCGUAGGCGGGCCAUCAAGUCAGGGGUGAAAGCCCCCAGCUCAACUGGGGAAGUGCCUCUGAUACUGGUGGCCUCGAGGGAGGUAGGGGCGUGCGGAACUUCCGGUGGAGCGGUGAAAUGCGUAGAUAUCGGAAGGAACACCGGUGGCGAAAGCGGCGCGCUGGACCUCUUCUGACGCUGAUGCGCGAAAGCGUGGGGAGCAAACGGG